AUUCAAGCAAUUCUCCUGCUUCAGCCUCCCGAGUAGCUGGGACUACAGGCAUGCGCCGCCACGCCCAGCUAAUUGUUGUAUUUUUAGUAGAGACAGGGUUUCACCAUGUUGGCCAGAAUGGUCUUGAUCUCCUGACCUCAUGAUCCACUCACCUCAGCCUCCCAAAAUGCUGUGAUUACAGGCGCGAACCACCACGCCCAGCCAAUUCCUUGGAUUUAAGAGCCGACAGCUGCGAGAACUUCCCUUCUGGCAGGCAAACCAACUCCAAGGCAUGAAAGCCACAGGAAUGCUGGGGAGAUAAAUGCAGGAAGACACAGUUUAAGAGACUAGGGUGUUGAAAUAUCUCAGCAAAGGCCACUGAGGGACUCUUCAGUCCAGGGACAAUGAAACACUGGACAACCUGGGAGGAGUUAGGUACAUUCUCUGGCCUUCUCUCAGAGGGGCUUUUGCUGUGUUGUAACAGGCAGUGGAGUGUUGGUAAAUAUUUAACAAGGCAUCUCCAAGGGGAAAAGCCUUAAUAUGUAGUGUUUACCUAUUCCUGUGGUGUAAAUACCCCUGCUAUGGCCAGUUUCAAGCUACCAACAUGAUGUCAUUGAAACCAAAGUUGGAAAGAAAAGUGCAUCAUCAUUCUGAGCAGCUGACUCCAACACGCCACUGUAGCUCCACUGACCUAAGGGAAAACUGUCAGUCUUCACUCCAUAAGGAUGUACAGGCCCAGGGGCUGGACAAUGUAGCUCUUGGAAGAUCACAAUAGAGUCAGUUUCCUAAUUUCAGGGACCAACUGUUACUGCUAAGAAUAAAUGGGAGGCCAGGUGCAGUGGCUCACACCUGUAAUCCAAGCACUUUGGGAGGCCGAGGCAGGUAGAUCACCUGAGGUCAGAGUUCGAGACCAGCCUGACCAACAGAGUGAAACCUCGUCUCUACUAAAAAUACAAAAAUUAGCCAGGCUUGGUGGCGUGCACCUGUAAUCCCAGCUACUCAGGAGGCUGAGGCAGGAGAAUCACUUGAACCCAGGAGGCAGAGGUUGCAGUGAGCCGAAAUCACACCACUGCACUCCAGCAUGGGCAACAGACCAAGACUCUGUCUCAAAAAAAAAAAAAAAAGAACAAAUGUGUAAAAUAGUCACAGAUCUUUACAAUCCCAUCCAGCGAUGAGGUUCUAGGUACAAAACAAACAUUAACAUCUUUCUCCUCUGGAAUCGCUUGAACCAAGGAGACAGAGGUUGCAGUGAGCCAAGAUCGUGCCACUGCACUCCAGCCUGGGAAUCAGAGUAAGACUCCGCCUCAGGAAAAAAAGAAAAAGAAAUCUUUUUCCUCUGAACUCUCAUCAAACUUCUAUUUCUACAUCUCUUUUGAUUUUUUUUAUUUAUCUAACAAUGACUGUGCCAAGCAAUAUUCCAAAUAAGGUAUAUACCGUGACACAAUCCAACCUCACAACAAGCCUACAGGCAAGUACUUUAUGUAUUUAUUUAUUUGUUUACUUAUAUAUUUGUUGACACUGGGUCUCACUCUGUUGCCGAGGCUGGAGUGCAAUGGCACCAUCUGGGCUCACUGAAGCCUCGACCUCCUGGGCUCAAGCGAUCCUCCCACCUCAGCACCCCCAGAGUAGCUGGGAUUACAGGCACACGCUACCACACCCAGCUAAUUUUUGUAAUUUUAGUAGAGAGGGCAUUUCACCUUGUUGCCCAGGCUGGUCUCGAACUCCUGGACUCAGGCGAUCCACUGCUUCAGCCUCCCAAAGUGCUGGGAUUACAGGAGUGAGCCACCAAGCCCAGCCUGGAACAAGCACUUUUUACAAAUCUGUUUUACAAAGGAGCAAACUGAAGCGCUGAGAGGUUAAGUUACAUGUCCAAAGUCACAAAGCCCUGAAUUGCCUUUGCAAUGCCCCUUAAAAAGUGGCAGAAUAAAUGCCCAACCCAAGAAGCUCUUCACAUAUUUGAUUUAGAUUCCACAUAAAAAUAAAAGCACU
rnacentral:lncRNA from 10 species